rnacentral:rRNA from 1 species
GCUCAGAGUAUAAGCCAAUGGAGCUUGGAAGGCUUCCGCAGAUGGUGUCCAUCAUACGUGGUGUUCUUAAGACCUUGAGUGUGGCUCGUGAAGCGAAGCAUUGAGUUUGCCGACCAGCUGUCGUGCGGGGGGUUCAGCUUGGAAGGGUUGGGUUUCGGUCCAACAGUUUUCCUUCUGUCCCCUUUUGAAUGGACGUUCAGAGCUCUUGGUCUAAUGCGGUUAUGCCCACCACAGCACGUUGUGAGGUCACCCACAGGCUCCACUGCCGAUCGCGCAUCCAGGACGAUGGCAACGAUGCGUUGUCGAUGAUGGCUCGAGAGAGACUUCACUCACACGCGUGUCUAGUCCUGGGUCGGGCGGCGACCGAGAUAAACCUGGUACGAUCCUCUUGCGACGAGCUGCUUUCUGGCCAGACCGACGCCCAGACUCCUCCACUGUGCCGGAAGAGUCAACCCCAGGCGGUGUGAACCCAGCUGCAUUAUGCAAGGUCUCUCAGCCGGGCGUUGGUCUGAGUGGUGUUAAGUCCAGCACCAUCGGUCACGUCUCGAAACACGGGCCAAGGAGUAUAGCAUGUGUGCAAGUCUAAGGGUCUCACAAAACCCGAAGGCGAAGUGAAAGCAAGACUGUGGCGGGGGAGCUACGGCAAACCCGCCGGCCUAGUGGCGCGUGCGUCGCCUGGCUUUUAGCAGAGCUGAUCCUGUUUUCUCGGUUAAUUCUUGGUGCAGGCGCAAGCUCCGGGCUCACGUACAACACUGGUCACGCCUCGCG